AUAUUAGAAGGGAAUGAAGUUCUCCCUUAGAAAAAUCUAAAACCGCAUUUAUGCUGAUGACUUCUGUAACUAU
rnacentral:ncRNA from 22 species